CUUUACUGUAACCUGGAAUUGGGUUCGGGCUUUGCUUGCGCAGGAUAGGUGGGAGGCGUUGAGAUAUUCCUUGUGGGGAAUGUGGAGCCAACGGUGAGAUACCACUCUGGUGAGGCUAGAAUUCUAACCCGAUGCCGUGAACCGGCUCGGGAACAGUUUCAGGCGGGCAGUUUGACUGGGGCGGUCGCCUCCUAAAAGGUAACGGAGGCGCGCAAAGGUUCUCUCAGGCUGGUUGGAAAUCAGCCGUAGAGUGUAAAGGCAGAAGGGAGCUUGACUGUGAGACCUACAAGUCGAACAGGGUGGAAACACGGCCUUAGUGAUCCGACGGCGCUGCGUGGAAAGGCCGUCGCUAAACGGAUAAAAGUUA
rnacentral:rRNA from 1 species